UCACUUUCAACAACGGAUCUCUUGGUUCUUGCAUCGAUGAAGAACGUAGCGAAGUGCGAUAAGUAAUGUGAAUUGCAGAAUUCCGUGAAUCAUCGAAUCUUUGAACGCAAAUUGCACUUUUUGGUAUCCCGAAAAGUAUGCCUGUUUGAGGGUCAGUA
rnacentral:rRNA from 1 species